rnacentral:rRNA from 1 species
CCUACGGGUGGCAGCAGUGGGGAAUAUUGGGCAAUGGGCGCAAGCCUGACCCAGCAACGCCGCGUGAAGGAAGACGGCCCUCGGGUUGUAAACCCCUUUUAUCAGGGACGAAACAAAUGACGGUACCUGAUGAAUAAGCCACGGCUAACUACGUGCCAGCACCCGCGGUAAUACGUAGGUGGCAAGCGUUCAUCGGAUUUACUGGGUGUAAAGGGCGGGUAGGCGGGUCUGCAAGUCAGAUGUGAAAACUCAGGGCGCAACCAUGGAACUGCAUGUGACACUGUAUAUCUUGAGUGAUGGAGAGGCAGGCGGAAUUCGGGGUGUAGCGGUGAAAUGCGUAGAUAUACGGAAGAACACCGGUGGCGAAGGCAGCCUGCUGGACAUUAACUGACGCUGAGGCGCGAAAGCGUGGGGAGCGAACAGGAUUAGAUACCCUAGUAGUC